UACGAAGGGGGCUAGCGUUGCUCGGAAUUACUGGGCGUAAAGCGCACGUAGGCGGCUCUUUAAGUCGGGGGUGAAAUCCUGGAGCUCAACUCCAGAACUGCCUUUGAUACUGAAAAUCUUGAGUCCGGGAGAGGUGAGUGGAACUGCGAGUGUAGAGGUGAAAUUCGUAGAUAUUCGCAAGAACACCAGUGGCGAAGGCGGCUCACUGGCCCGGUACUGACGCUGAGGCACGAAAGCGUGGGGAGCAAACAGG
rnacentral:rRNA from 1 species